AUUGAACGCUGGCGGCAUGCCUUACACAUGCAAGUCGAACGAUAACAGGUCUUCGGAUGCUGACGAGUGGCGAACGGGUGAGUAAUACAUCGGAACGUGCCUAGUAGUGGGGGAUAACUACUCGAAAGAGUGGCUAAUACCGCAUGAGAUCUACGGAUGAAAGCAGGGGAUCGCAAGACCUUGUGCUACUAGAGCGGCCGAUGGCAGAUUAGGUAGUUGGUGGGAUAAAAGCUUACCAAGCCGACGAUCUGUAGCUGGUCCGAGAGGACGAUCAGCCACACGGGGACUGAGACACGGCCCAGACUCCUACGGGAGGCAGCAGUGGGGAAUUUUGGACAAUGGGCGAAAGCCUGAUCCAGCAAUGCCGCGUGCAGGAUGAAGGCCUUCGGGUUGUAAACUGCUUUUGUACGGAACGAAAAGCCCCGGGUUAAUACCCUGGGGUCAUGACGGUACCGUAAGAAUAAGCACCGGCUAACUACGUGCCAGCCGCCGCAGUAA
rnacentral:rRNA from 1 species